GGCCUUAGCCCAAUAGAUCAGAAAAAAUAGGUUCUGACUCUUGGAAAUUAGGUAACCCUAAUACCAAAAGUACUUUGAUACAGGAUGAGGCUGUGGAAUAAUAGCUUGCUGAAAAUCUGUUAGACAAAUUGUUCACUGAAGAAAAGUGGAGAUCGGAGCCAAAGCAAUGAAAAAGAGCCAUUGGCAAAAUCAAUGCUCUCCAUGUCUCUGCAAACUUGGUCAUCUCAAGAAUAGGAUGCUGGUUUGAUCAUCGUCAAUUUCUAAAUCACUGGCCAUCUAUUUGGCUUUCUUUAAGUAGCUGGACAAGAACAAAAUACCAAGAAGGCCGUCAAAACAGAGAUGUUUAUUGUGCCUGUUACUUCUCUUAGCACUCUUAUCACCAAUGGCGAAGUGUUGCCCUUUGUCCCCAAUAAAAACAGAAGAUCCAAGUUUAUUUUCCAUAUGCUUCACUCUUCAAGUUCUCUUUGCACUCUUGCAUCUGCAGUUUUUCACCUUAAAGCUGACUGAACUUCUUGAACAUUUUCCUUAAUCAUAUGCAAAUUAAGUUUCUAAUGUUGACUCAAGUGUCAAGCAAUUGAAGGGAACGUUCAAAUGCUUCUUCCACUCCUUGUUUCUGAUGGUAUUUAAAAAUGAACAUGAAUCAUUUAUAGCUAGAUUGUAUUCUUAUAAUGCUUUCCAAAAUCAUUUACUCGUUUAUAUUUGGAUACUUCAUUGUAAUUUUAUUUAUCUGAAAAAUGAUUUAUAUUUA